rnacentral:rRNA from 1 species
AUUGAACGCUGGCGGCAUGCCUUACACAUGCAAGUCGAACGGCAGCACGGGUGCUUGCACCUGGUGGCGAGUGGCGAACGGGUGAGUAAUACAUCGGAACAUGUCCUGUAGUGGGGGAUAGCCCGGCGAAAGCCGGAUUAAUACCGCAUACGAUCUACGGAUGAAAGCGGGGGACCUUCGGGCCUCGCGCUAUCGGGUUGGCCGAUGGCUGAUUAGCUAGUUGGUGGGGUAAAGACCUACCAAGGCGACGAUCAGUAGCUGGUCUGAGAGGACGACCAGCCACACUGGGACUGAGAAACGGCCCAGACUCCUACGGGAGGCAGCAGUGGGGAAUUUUGGACAAUGGGCGAAAGCCUGAUCCAGCAAUGCCGCGUGUGUGAAGAAGGCCUUCGGGUUGUAAAGCACUUUUGUCCGGAAAGAAAUCCUUGGCCCUAAUACGGUCGGGGGAUGACGGUACCGGAAGAAUAAGCACCGGCUAACUACGUG